GGAAGGAUCAAUGCAGAAUACGAGAGGCUUGGGGGUUGGGGAGUGGCCUGGCCAUUUCUCUUCCCUCCCUCAUGUUUACGCUUGUUUGUUUGACAGAGUCAUCAUGUUUACAUAUAUAUACAACUUUUAACAAUGGAUCUCUUGGCUCUUGCAUCGAUGAAGAACGCAGUCAAGUGUGAAAAUUAAUGCGAUUUGCACGAAUCUGUGAGUCAUCAAGUCUUUGAACGCAACUUGCACCAGGAUGAAACCUGGUAUGUCUGGUUGAGUGUUGAAUAAACAAUAUCUUUAUGAUGAUUCGGUCGGUAGCAAGCAACUGCUCUGCUCGGACUGGGAUGGAGCAAGUAAAGGAAAAGAGACUAUUGUCCAAGUGUCAAGUAUUCUUGGAACGGCAUUCUCUCGUUCUUUGAUAUCCUCAUACAAUCGACCUCAACUCAGGCAAGAUUACCCGCUGAACUUAAGCAUAUCAGUAAGCGGAGGAAAAGAAACUAACAAGGAUUCCCCUAGUAACGGCGAGUGAAGCGGGACCAGCUCAAAGUUAUAAUCUCAGAGGAUGCUCCUCUGCGAAUUGUAGUCUAUAGGUGGGGGCUUGGCAGAGGGGAUCGGUGACCAAGUCUCUUGGAAAAGGGCGCCACAGAGGGUGACAGCCCCGUAGGUCAUCUAUCGUCCCUGCUCUGCCCCCUCCAACGAGUCGAGUUGUUUGGGAAUGCAGCUCAAAGCGGGUGGUAAAUCUCAUCCAAAGCUAAAUAUUGGCAAGAGACCGAUAGCGAACAAGUACCGCGAGGGAAAGAUGAAAAGCACCUUGAAAAGGGAGUUAAACAGUGCGUGAAAUUGUUAAAAGGGAAACGAUAAAGGUUAGUGUUGGCUUGGGGGGAGGCUAAGCUCUUGGGCUUGGCUGCACCCACUUGCCGAGUCAAUGUCGAUUGCGAGUGUUGGAAAAGGGGAGGGGAAAGGUGGAGCACGGAGUGAUCCUUGUUCUUUAUAGUCCAAUCAGUCCUGCAAUGCUUGCGAUCGGAUCAGGGACUGGGACGGGUGCGUUGGAUGCUUGGGGGGGGAGUGUGUAUAGCACGUGUGCGGUGUAUGCUCUUCCUUGUGCAUGCCCUCGCACUCCAUCCAGCCCCGCUUUGACGAAAUGACCUUUAACGACCCGUCUUGAAACACGGACCAAGGAGUCUAACAGUGAUGCAAGUGUUAGAGUGGCAAACUCGGAACGCGUAGUAAAAGCAAAUCCUGUGAGCCCUUAGCGGUGCAGCAGGAAGGGAGUUUGGGAUCACACCCUUUCUCCCUCGAGCAUCACUGUUGGGACCCGAAAGGCGGUGAACUAUGCCUGACCAGGGCGAAGCCAGGGGAAACUCUGGUGGAGGCUCGUAGCCGUUCUGACGUGCAAAUCGAUGGUCAGAGUUGGGUAUAGGGGCGAAAGACCAAUCGAACCGCCUAGUAGCUGGUUCCCUC
rnacentral:misc_RNA from 1 species